GACGAACGCUGGCGGCGUGCUUAACACAUGCAAGUCGAACGGAAAGGCCCUGCUUUUGUGGGGUGCUCGAGUGGCGAACGGGUGAGUAACACGUGAGUAACCUGCCCUUGACUUUGGGAUAACUUCAGGAAACUGGGGCUAAUACCGGAUAGGAGCUCCUGCUGCAUGGUGGUGGUUGGAAAGUUUCGGCGGUUGGGGAUGGACUCGCGGAUUAUCAGCUUGUUGGUGGGGUAGUGGCUUACCAAGGCUUUGACGGGUAGCCGGCCUGAGAGGGUGACCGGCCACCUUGGGACUGCGAUACGGCACAGACUCCUACGGGAGGCAGCAGUGGGGAAUAUUGCAGAAUGGGCGGAAGCCUGAUGCAGCAACGCCGCGUGCGGGAUGACGGCCUUCGGGUUGUAAACCGCUUUCGCCUGUGACGAAGCGUGAGUGACGGUAAUGGGUAAAGAAGCCCCGGCUAACUACGUG
rnacentral:rRNA from 1 species